rfam:Clostridium hylemonae DSM 15053 genomic scaffold Scfld_02_0, whole genome shotgun sequence.
GCGGAGAUGGCGGAAUGGCAGACGCGCUAGAUUCAGGUUCUAGUGGGAGUUAUCCUGUGAGGGUUCAAGUCCCUUUCUCCGCA